rnacentral:rRNA from 1 species
GGGUUGUGAGGUUAAGCGACUAAGCGUACACGGUGGAUGCCCUGGCAGUCAGAGGCGAUGAAGGACGUGCUAAUCUGCGAAAAGCGUCGGUAAGGUGAUAUGAACCGUUAUAACCGGCGAUGUCCGAAUGGGGAAACCCAGUGCAAUUCGUUGCACUAUCGUUAACUGAAUACAUAGGUUAACGAGGC